rnacentral:rRNA from 1 species
GAUGAACGCUGGCGGCGUGCCUAAUACAUGCAAGUCGAACGAAACUUCUUUAUCACCGAGUGCUUGCACUCACCGAUAAAGAGUUGAGUGGCGAACGGGUGAGUAACACGUGGGCAACCUGCCCAAAAGAGGGGGAUAACACUUGGAAACAGGUGCUAAUACCGCAUAACCAUAGUUACCGCAUGGUAACUAUGUAAAAGGUGGCUAUACUACCGCUUUUGGAUGGGCCCGCGGCGCAUUAGCUAGUUGGUAGGGUAAAGGCUUACCAAGGCAAUGAUGCGGAGCGCAAUUGGGGGGUUAGUCGGCCAAAUGGGGACUGAAACCCGGCCCAACCCCCCACGGGGGGGAGGAGGGGGGAAUCUUCCAACAGGGGCGAAAGCCUUGGGGAGAAACGCCGGGGGGGGGAAGAAGGUUUUGGGGUCGAAAAACCCUUUUUUUGGGAAAAAAGGUUGGGAAAGGAAACUUUUCACGUUUCGACGGUAUCUAACCAAAAAGCCACUGCUAACUACGU